CCGAGUGCUUGCACUCAAUUGGAAAGAGGAGUGGCGGACGGGUGAGUAACACGUGGGUAACCUACCCAUCAGAGGGGGAUAACACUUGGAAACAGGUGCUAAUACCGCAUAACAGUUUAUGCCGCAUGGCAUAAGAGUGAAAGGCGCUUUCGGGUGUCGCUGAUGGAUGGACCCGCGGUGCAUUAGCUAGUUGGUGAGGUAACGGCUCACCAAGGCCACGAUGCAUAGCCGACCUGAGAGGGUGAUCGGCCACACUGGGACUGAGACACGGCCCAGACUCCUACGGGAGGCAGCAGUAGGGAAUCUUCGGCAAUGGACGAAAGUCUGACCGAGCAACGCCGCGUGAGUGAAGAAGGUUUUCGGAUCGUAAAACUCUGUUGUUAGAGAAGAACAAGGACGUUAGUAACUGAACGUCCCCUGACGGUAUCUAACCAGAAAGCCACGGCUAACUACGUGCCAGCAGCCGCGGUAAUACGUAGGUGGCAAGCGUUGUCCGGAUUUAUUGGGCGUAAAGCGAGCGCAGGCGGUUUCUUAAGUCUGAU
rnacentral:rRNA from 1 species